rnacentral:tRNA from 1 species
GCCUGGGUGGCUCAGUCGGUUAAGUGUCUGACUUCGGCUCAGGUCAUGAUCUCACGGUCCAUGGGUUCGAGCCCCGUGUCGGGCU